GUUGAACGCUAGCUACAGGCUUAACACAUGCAAGUCGAGGGACCGGCGCACGGGUGAGUAACACGUAUCCAACCUGCCCUUUACUCGGCGAUAGCCUUUCGAAAGAAAGAUUAAUACCCGAUAUAAAGGAUGGGGAUGCGUUCCAUUAGGUUGUUGGUGAGGUAACGGCUCACCAAGCCUUCGAUGGAUAGGGGUUCUGAGAGGAAGGUCCCCCACAUUGGAGCUGAGGCACAGUCCAAACUGCGACGGGAGGGAGCAGUGUGGAAUAUAAGGCAAUGGGGGCUGACCUGAACCGGCCAAGUAUCGGGAAGGAUGAAGGCUUAUGGGUCGUAAACUUCUUUUGUAUAAGAAUAGGUAUUAUAAGAAUAAGGAUCGGCUAACUCCGUGCCAGCAGCCGCGGUAAUUC
rnacentral:rRNA from 1 species